rnacentral:rRNA from 1 species
ACGGUACCGUAAGAAUAAGCACCGGCUAACUUCGUGCCAGCAGCCGCGGUAAUACGAAGGGUGCAAGCGUUAAUCGGAAUUACUGGGCGUAAAGCGUGCGUAGGCGGUUCGUUAAGUCUGUCGUGAAAGCCCUGGGCUCAACCUGGGAAUGGCGAUGGAUACUGGCGGGCUAGAGUCAGGUAGAGGGUGGUGGAAUUCCCGGUGUAGCGGUGAAAUGCGUAGAGAUCGGGAGGAACAUCUGUGGCGAAGGCGGCCACCUGGACCAUGACUGACGCUGAGGCACGAAAGCGUGGGGAGCAAACAGGAUUAGAUACCCUGGUAGUCCACGCCCUAAACGAUGCGAACUGGAUGUUGGGCUCAACUCGGAGCUCAGUGUCGAAGCUAACGCGUUAAGUUCGCCGCCUGGGGAGUACGGUCGCAAGACUGAAACUCAAAGGAAUUGACGGGGGCCCGCACAAGCGGUGGAGUAUGUGGUUUAAUUCGAUGCAACGCGAAGAACCUUACCUGGCCUUGACAUGUCCCGGAAUCCUGCAGAGAUGCGGGAGUGCCUUC